rnacentral:rRNA from 1 species
CCUACGGGAGGCAGCAGUGGGGAAUAUUGGACAAUGGGCGAAAGCCUGAUCCAGCCAUGCCGCGUGUGUGAAGAAGGUCUUCGGAUUGUAAAGCACUUUAAGUUGGGAGGAAGGGUAUUCACCUAAUACGUGAGUAUUUUGACGUUACCGACAGAAUAAGCACCGGCUAACUUCGUGCCAGCAGCCGCGGUAAU